rnacentral:rRNA from 1 species
CGUCAAGUCCUCAUGGCCUUUAUGCCCAGGGCUACACACGUAUUACAAUGGACAACACAAAGCGUCGCAAGCUCGCAAGAUCAAGCUAAUCGCAAAAAAUUGUCCUCAGUUCGGAUUGGAGUCUGCAACUCGACUCCAUGAAGCUGGAAUCACUAGUAAUCGUUGAUCAGCAUGCAACGGUGAAUGCGUUCCCGGGCCUU